GGGGGGAGGCCGGAUCCUGGGCUGUGUCCCGGCGCCCUGUGCUACGGGGCCUGCGCUGAGGAUUCGGGGUUCCCGCCCGGAAGCCCCUU
rnacentral:pre_miRNA from 1 species